rnacentral:lncRNA from 1 species
UUGUCCCAGAGUUCUCCAAGACUCUCUUCAUUUCUUUUCAGUCUUUUUUCUCUUUUCUGUUCUGCAUCUGUAAUUUCCACUAAUCUGUCCUCCACCUCGCUUAUUCAUUUUUCUGCCUCUUGUAUUCUGCUGUUAGCUGCUUCUAGUGAAUUUUUUAUUUCAGUUAUUGUAUUUUGCAUCUCUUCUUGUUUAAGUUUUAUAUCUUGUAGCUCUUUGGUCAGUGUUUCCUGUAAGUUAUCCCUCUUUGCCUCCAGUUGAUUUCCAAUGCCUUGCAUCAUCUUCAGUAUCGACAGUCUAAAGUCUUUUUCCUGGAGGCUGAGAAUCUCCUCAUCACUUAGCUGAUUUUCUGGGGUUUUUCUUUUCUCCCUCAUCUGAGUUAUAGUUAUCUUUCUUUUCAUUUUUAUAGGUUUUUGGUGUGGUGACCUUUUUACAGAUACUAGAGUUGUAGCCCCUCUUACUUCUGGUGUCUGCCCCCUGUGGCGGAAGUCAGUAUGGGGGCUUGCUGUAGGCUUCUUUAUGUGAGGGGUUGAUGCCUUCCCACUGGUAGGUGGAGCCGAUUCUAAUCUCUCUGGUGGGUGGGGCUUAGUCUCUGGAUGGGAUUAGAGGCAGCUGUGUGCCUGAGGGGCAGGGCUCUGUGUGCCUGAGGGGCAGGGCUGUGAUCCCACCUGGAUUGUUGUUUGCCCUGGGGCUUCUCAUCAUUGACUGAUGGGUGGGGCAAGAUUUUCCCAAAAUGGCCACCUCCAGAGAAAGGCAGCUGCUGAAUAUUCCCGAGAGCUUUGCUUACAAUGUUCUUCCCUCACAACAAGCCACAUUCCCCCCUGUUUUCCCAGGAGGUCCUUGAAGAACUGCAGUCAGAUUUGACCCAGAUUCCUAUGGAGACUUUGCUUUGUCCUGGGACCCAGUGCACUUAAAUGUCUGUGUGCGCCUUUUAAGAAUGGGGUCUCCAUUUCCCCCAGUCCCAUGGAGCUCCUGCGCACAAGCCCCACUGGGCUUCCAUGCCAGAUCCUCCAGGGGCUCUUUCUCCCCGUGCCAGAUCCCCACACAUUAGAGUUUGAUUUGGGGCUCAGAACUCUCACUCCUAUAAGUGAGUCUCUGUGAACAAGUUAGUUUCCAGUCUGUGGGGCUUCCCACCCAGGAGGUAUGGGGUUGUUUAUGUUGUGAAAUCGCCCCUCUACCUCUUGAUGUGUCCUCUUUUUCUUCUGGUAUAGGAUAUCUUUUUGAAGGUUUCUGGUACAUUUGGGUGAAGAAUGCACAGCCUUUAGUUGUGAAUUUUGUUGUUUUUAGGAGAGAAGUUGAGCUCUAGUCCUUCUUUUCUGCCGUCUUAAUCC